GACGAACGCUGGCGGCGCGCUUAACACAUGCAAGUCGAACGGAAAGGCCUGCUUUCCCUUGUGGAUUGCGGGUACUCGAGUGGCGAACGGGUGAGUAACACGUGAGUGAUCUGCCCCCAACUUGGGUAUAAGCCUGGGAAACUGGGUCUAAUUCCCGAUAGGACUGCAGGGUGGUGCCUGUGGUGGAAAACGAUUUUCUAGUGGUUGGGGAUGAGCUCGCGGCCUAUCAACUUGUUGGUGGGGUAAUGGCCUACCAAGGCGGCGACGGGUAGCCGGCCUGAGAGGGUGGACGGCCACAUUGGGACUGAGAUACGGCCCAGACUCCUACGGGAGGCAGCAGUGGGGAAUAGUGCACAAUGGGCGGAAGCCUGAUGCAGCGACGCCGCGUGGGGGAUGACGGCCUUCGGGUUGUAAACUCCUUUCGACCGCGAGGAAGCCACCUGGUUGGAAGGGUGGUGACGGUAGUGGUAGAAGAAGCACCGGCUAACUACGUG
rnacentral:rRNA from 1 species